rnacentral:rRNA from 1 species
GACGAACGCUGGCGGCGUGCUUAACACAUGCAAGUCGAACGGAAAGGCCCUGCUUUUGUGGGGUGCUCGAGUGGCGAACGGGUGAGUAACACGUGAGUAACCUGCCCUUGACUUUGGGAUAACUUCAGGAAACUGGGGCUAAUACCGGAUAGGAGCUCCUGCUGCAUGGUGGGGGUUGGAAAGUUUCGGCGGUUGGGGAUGGACUCGCGGCUUAUCAGCUUGUUGGUGGGGUAGUGGCUUACCAAGGCUUUGACGGGUAGCCGGCCUGAGAGGGUGACCGGCCACAUUGGGACUGGGAUUCGGCCCAGACUCCUACGGGAGGCAGCAGUGGGGAAUAUUGCACAAUGGGCGGAAGCCUGAUGCAGCAACGCCGCGUGCGGGAUGACGGAUUUCGGGUUGUAAACCGCUUUCGCAUGUGACGAAGCGUGAGUGGCGGUAAUGGGUAAAGAAGCACCGGCUAACUACGUG